rnacentral:lncRNA from 1 species
GCCGGCUUCGUUUUUUUUAACUAGGUCAUAAUCAGAACCUCUCGAAGUGUGCGUGCGCGCGCGCGCGCGCGCGUGUGUGUGUGUUAGAGCUGAAUUUCAGGUUUUGUCAUAUUGGGGAAGUUAUAUUAAACCCUCUAUUCUAGAAACUCGUUUAUGGUUCUAAGGGGUUGUAUCAUGAUUAGCACCAAUGAGAGCAGUUUUCUCUGUUCUCUUUCCCUUGCCAAGUUGUCACACUCCAAGAGCAGCAUUAACCUUCAGUCA